GGAGGUGUUAAAUCACUCUGACCAUCACCCUAUCCUUUUUCUUUCAAACCUGGUUGAGGGAACCUACACUUUUCACCUGAAAGUGACCGAUGCAAAGGGUGAGAGUGACACAGACCGGACCACUGUGGAGGUGAAACCUGAUCCCAGGAAAAACAACCUGGUGGAGAUCAUCUUGGAUAUCAACGUCAGUCAGCUAACUGAGAGGCUGAAGGGGAUGUUCAUCCGCCAGAUUGGGGUCCUCCUGGGGGUGCUGGAUUCCGACAUCAUUGUGCAAAAGAUUCAGCCGUACACGGAGCAGAGCACCAAAAUGGUAUUUUUUGUUCAAAACGAGCCUCCCCACCAGAUCUUCAAAGGCCAUGAGGUGGCAGCGAUGCUCAAGAGUGAGCUGCGGAAGCAAAAGGCAGACUUUUUGAUAUUCAGAGCCUUGGAAGUCAACACUUACUAUAGGUAUUUUAUUUUUCCAAUUGUGAGAAGGGGAUGUGUGGGACAUAAAAGAUUAAGAAUUGCUGAUAU
rnacentral:sRNA from 1 species